UACGGAGGGUGCAACCGUUGCUCGGAAUCAUUGGGCGUAAAGCGCACGUAGGCGGCCUGACAAGUCGGGUGUGAAAGCCCUGGGCUCAACCCAGGAAGUGCACUCGAAACUGCCAGGCUUGAAUAUGGAAGAGGGUCGCGGAAUUCCCGGUGUAGAGGUGAAAUUCGUAGAUAUUCGCAAGAACACCAGUGGCGAAGGCGGCUCACUGGCCCGAUACUGACGCUGAGGCACGAAAGCGUGGGGAGCAAACAGG
rnacentral:rRNA from 1 species